AUACGGAGGAUCCGAGCGUUAUCCGGAUUUAUUGGGUUUAAAGGGUGCGCAGGCGGCCAUUUAAGUCAGCGGUUAAAUCGUGGGGCUCAACCCCAUUCUGCCGUUGAUACUGGGUGGCUUGAUUGCGGUCGAGGUUGGCGGAAUUCGUUGUGUAGCGGUGAAAUGCAUAGAUAUGACGAAGAACACCGAUUGCGUAGGCAGCUGACCAGAUCGCAAAUGACGCUCAUGCACGAAAGUGCGGGGAUCGAACAGGAUUAGAUACCCUGGUAGUCCUCACAGUAAACGAUGAAUACUUGUUUUCGGCGAUAUAAUGUCGGAGGCAAAGCGAAAGUGAUAAGUAUUCCACCUGGGGAGUACGCCGGCAACGGUGAAACUCAAAGGAAUUGGCGGGG
rnacentral:rRNA from 1 species